GAUGAACGCUGGCGGCGUGCCUAACACAUGCCAGUCGAACGGAGAUUCCGGACGGAAGUUUUCGGAUGGAAGACUGUAAUUCUUAGUGGCGGACGGGUGAGUAACGCGUGGGCAACCUGCCCUAUACAGGGGGAUAGCAGCUGGAAACGGCUGGUAAGACCGCAUAAGUCGGUUAAAUCGCAUGAUUUGAUCGGGAAAUGAGCAAACAGGUAUAGGAUGGGCCCGCGUCCGAUUAGCCAGUUGGCAGGGUAAAAGCCUACCAAAGCGACGAUCGGUAGCCGGACUGAGAGGUCGGACGGCCACAUUGGGACUGAGACACGGCCCAAACUCCUACGGGAGGCAGCAGUGGGGGAUACUGCACAAUGGAGGAAACUCUGAUGCAGCGACGCCGCGUGAGUGAAGAAGUAUUUCGGUAUGUAAAGCUCUAUCAGCAGGGAAGAUGAUGACGGUACCUGACUAAGAAGCCCCGGCUAACUACGUG
rnacentral:rRNA from 1 species